CAUUCAUUUGGAAAAUCCCAAAUCAGCAACACUGUUCACUUUCUCUACCAAACAAACAUGAAACAACAUAAAUGGUGGGAUAAUGUAUGGAGAAGAGACCAACAAAAAAUUAUCAAAAACUAAAUUAAACACAAAGAAAAGAAAAAAAAAGGAUUCAAAAUUUGAAGAAAUGAAUGGAUUGGAUUGGAAGUUUGUAAGGCUAGCCUCGAGGAGGACAUAGAAGAUACAGUAUCUAUAAAUCCAAAGCACUAGAUUUUCAAUUAGGGAGGAGGUGACCUUCCCAUUUUGGCCAUGGAGAAAUGAUGUAAAUGAGAUACCUUUAAGAAGGAAGGGAUUGCUAACUUAAAAGGAGAGGAAGAGGAUCUUAGGCGAGUGAAGGAGAGGAUUUCUCCCAUUGAUGAUAGGCAAGUGGAAUGGUGAAGUUGGGAUGAAAGAGGGUUAAAGGAGAUAAGAGUUGCAUUAGCUUUGAUAUUUGCUAAUCUAAAAACAGAAUUUCUUCCUUUUAUUCUAAGAAGAUGGAAAGAAGAAAUGAUAGAGAUCCAGAGGAAGAGGAAUUUUUUAAUCUUUACAUUCAUAGAAAUUUUAGAUG
rnacentral:lncRNA from 1 species